ACCCGCUGAACUUAAGCAUAUCAAUAAGCGGAGGAAAAGAAACCAACAGGGAUUGCCUCAGUAACGGCGAGUGAAGCGGCAAGAGCUCAAAUUUGAAAGCUGGCCCCCUCGGGGUCCGCGUUGUAAUUUGCAGAGGAUGCUUCGGGUGCAGCCCCCGUCUAAGUGCCCUGGAACGGGCCGUCAUAGAGGGUGAGAAUCCCGUCUGGGACGGGGUGCCUGCGUCCGUGUGAAGCUCCUUCGACGAGUCGAGUUGUUUGGGAAUGCAGCUCUAAAUGGGUGGUAAAUUUCAUCUAAAGCUAAAUACUGGCCGGAGACCGAUAGCGCACAAGUAGAGUGAUCGAAAGAUGAAAAGCACUUUGAAAAGAGAGUUAAACAGCACGUGAAAUUGUUGAAAGGGAAGCGUUUGCGACCAGACUCGCCCGCGGGGUUCAGCCGGCAUUCGUGCCGGUGUACUUCCCCGUGGGCGGGCCAGCGUCGGUUUGGGCGGCCGGUCAAAGGCCCUCGGAAUGUAUCACCUCUCGGGGUGUCUUAUAGCCGAGGGUGCAAUGCGGCCUGCCCGGACCGAGGAACGCGCUUCGGCUCGGACGCUGGCGUAAUGGUCGU
rnacentral:rRNA from 1 species